rnacentral:ncRNA from 1 species
UAAAAAUUGAGUUUGAUGAUGGCUCUGAUUGAACGCUAUCCAAGUGCUUGACACAUGCUAAUCGAACGUCAUUAUCUAUAUAAGAUAAUGAAGUGGUGUACAGGUGAGUAAAUAUUUUAACUACCUUAAAGAAAGGGGAAAAUCCCUUAUAAAAAAAAAUAAAACAAAGUUUUGCUUUAAGAUGUUAAUAAAUAUAUCGGAAAGUAUUAGAUAAGGUAAAAACUUAACUAGCGAUAAUUCCGUAGUCGAGACUGAGAGGUCGAUCGAUCACAUUGGGUCUGAAAAAAGCCCAAUGCGUAUUAGUACAGCAGUGAGGAAUAUUGGUCAAUGGCCUAACGGCUGAACCAGCAACUUGGAAGAAUGAGAAGUAUUAAAAAAAAUUAAUACGAAACGAAUAUAUCGUAUGAAAUUCUAGAUAAAUUAUUGAUAAUGACAAUUAUUUAUUUAUAAGUCUUGACCAAAUUACGUGCCAGCAGUCGCGGUAAUACGUAGAAGACUAGUGUUAAUCAUCUUUAUUAGGUUUAAAGGGUACCUAGACGGUAAAUUAAACCCGAGAGGGUACUUUUUUACUAGAGUUUUAUAAGAGAAGGGGAGAAUUUUUGGAGUAAAGAUAAAAUUUAAUUAUACCAAAAGGACUGAUAACGGCGUAGGCGGCCUUUUAUGUAAAAACUGACGUUGAGGGACGAAGGCUUGGGUAGCAAUAAGGAUGUGCGACUUGUUAAGUUUUAACAAAAAUUGUAUAACGUUUAUUAAUGAUUAUACAUUGUAUUUCAUCUUACAAUAGCCUAAUUA